AACGUAGGUACCGAGCGUUAUUCGGAAUUACUGGGCGUAAAGCGCACGUAGGCGGAUCAAAAAGUCAGAGGUGAAAUCCCAGGGCUCAACCUUGGAACUGCCUUUGAAACUUUUGGUCUUGAGGUCGUGAGAGGUGAGUGGAAUUCCGAGUGUAGAGGUGAAAUUCGUAGAUAUUCGGAGGAACACCAGUGGCGAAGGCGGCUCACUGGCACGAUACUGACGCUGAGGUGCGAAAGCGUGGGGAGCAAACAGG
rnacentral:rRNA from 1 species